CGUAGGGUGCAAGCGUUAAUCGGAAUUACUGGGCGUAAAGCGUGCGCAGGCGGUUAUGUAAGACAGAUGUGAAAUCCCCGGGCUCAACCUGGGAACUGCAUUUGUGACUGCAUAGCUAGAGUACGGUAGAGGGGGAUGGAAUUCCGCGUGUAGCAGUGAAAUGCGUAGAUAUGCGGAGGAACACCGAUGGCGAAGGCAAUCCCCUGGACCUGUACUGACGCUCAUGCACGAAAGCGUGGGGAGCAAACAGGAUUAGAUACCCUGGUAGUCCACGCCCUAAACGAUGUCAACUGGCUGUUGGGUCUUCACUGACUCAGUAACGAAGCUAACGCGUGAAGUUGACCGCCUGGGGAGUACGGCCGCAAGGUUG
rnacentral:rRNA from 1 species